rnacentral:rRNA from 1 species
UACGUAGGGUGCGAGCGUUGUCCGGAUUUAUUGGGCGUAAAGAGCUCGUAGGUGGUUCGGUAAGUCGGAUGUGAAAUCUCCAGGCUCAACCUGGAGGGGUCAUUCGAUACUGCCGUGACUAGAGUUCGGUAGGGGAGUGUGGAAUUCCUGGUGGAGCGGUGAAAUGCGCAGAUAUCAGGAGGAACACCCGUAGCGAAGGCGGCACUCUGGGCCGAUACUGACACUGAGGAGCGAAAGCGUGGGGAGCGAACAGG